rnacentral:rRNA from 1 species
GUCUGUGGCCACACCACCCUGAAGGCACCCAAUCUCAUCUGGUCUCAGCAGCUGAGUAGGGUCGGGCCUGGUGAGCACUUGGAUGGGAGACAAUAUUUGAAAAGAGACUGCUCAGAGACA